UUGAAACACUAGGUCUUGUACGAUCACCGAAGUUAAGAGACGUUGAGCCUGGUCAGUACCUAGAUGGGUAACCGCUUGCGAGUACGAGGUGCUGUAAG